rnacentral:rRNA from 1 species
UACGGGAGGCAGCAGUGGGGAAUAUUGCACAAUGGGGGAACCCUGAUGCAGCAACGCCGCGUGGAGGAUGACACAUUUCGGUGCGUAAACUCCUUUUAUAUAGAAGAUAAUGACGGUACUAUAUGAAUAAGCGCCGGCUAACUCCGUGCCAGCAGCCGCGGUA